rnacentral:lncRNA from 1 species
GGCUGGGGUGGGUGCUUGUUGUGAAUGGUUGGCAGCUCCGAUGUGUCAGGUCCGGGAUCACAGAGUUUUCCAUAGUCUUGGUUGCACAGUGGCUGCCUUGCUCCAGCCCUGCCUGGUGCUGAGAGCCAUAGCCAAGUAGGAAUGACGCAUGGCAAUUUCCUUGUCAGCCUACCCAAUGUUGCUUAGAGGGAGGACUCUCCAUUGUGGAAAUGGGCUUGCCUUGGACCCAGGUCAUUUGCAGUGACAUUGCAUGAAUGUUUGAGAAAGGCGACCCAGCUCAAGGACCAGGGUGGAUCUGGGUUUAGGGUCGAUCCUGCUGGGAAUAGGGUGGUUCCAGGUUUAAGGUGGAUCCUGCUGGGAAUAGGGCGUAUCCUGCUGCCUCAGGCGCCGGCUCCUUGAGUUCCCCUGGAGUUCUCGCGGGGUUCUGAGAGUAUUUGGGACGCAGAGCCCGGUGGAGGGAAAAUUUUCCUAGAACGUGCGUGUAGAGUGCCGGUGAGAGUUCGGGAAUAAAGAGUUGCUGUUUGAAUCUACAAGGCGGUGUGGUGGCCCGGUUAUUUUGUGCCCAGCCAGACUGUGGCACCUGGAGUCUGCAUUCCGAGAAGAGCAAAGGAGGAAGGAAGAAGGACAAAGGCCAA